rnacentral:rRNA from 1 species
UAGUCCACGCCCUAAACGAUGCAUGCUCGAUGUUGGAACUUUUAUAUGGUUUCAGUGUCUCAAGCUAACGCGUUAAGCAUGCCGCCCGUGGAGUACGGCCGCAAGGCUAAAACAUAAAGGAAUAGACGGGGGCCCACACAAGCGGUGGAACAUGGGGUUUAAUUCGAUAAUACGCGGAACACCUCACCCAGGUUUGACAUCCCGAGAAUCUUUUAGAAAUAAUUGAGUGCCUUACGGAACUCGGUGACAGGUGGUGCACGGUCGUCGUCAGCUCGUGCUUUGAAGUGUACUGUUAAGUCUAGCCAACGAGCGCAACCCAUAUCGUAUGUUGCUUUUUCAUACGAGACUGCCGCCUCCAAGGCGGAGGAAGGUAUGGAUGACGUCAGAUCUGCGUGUCCCUUAUACCUGGGGCGACACCCAUGUUACAAUGGUCGAUACAAAGGGCAGCCAACCCGCGAGGGGGAGCCAAUCCCAUAAAAUCGAUCUCAGUCCGGAUAGGAGUCUGC